UACAGAGGGUGCGAGCGUUGUUCGGAAUUACUGGGCGUAAAGCGCGUGUAGGCGGUUCAUUAAGUCAGAUGUGAAAUCCCGGGGCCUAACUCCGGAAGUGCAUUUGAAACUGAUGAGCUGGAGUGAUGUAGAGGAUGGCGGAAUACCCAGUGCAGUGGUGAAAUACGUAGAGAUUGGGUAGAACACCGGUGGCGAAGGCGGCCAUCUGGGCAUUAACUGACGCUGAGACGCGAAAGCGUGGGGAGCAAACAGG
rnacentral:rRNA from 1 species